rnacentral:misc_RNA from 1 species
AUGCACUCCAGACCAGCCAGACAAUAGCACCCACUAUUUUCAGAAGAGGGAUCCGUAAGAACUGAUUGAUUAAGAAUCAGAAAUGUAGUUUUGAAGUUACAGGCCAAUGAUGGUAUCAAUCAACCAAAUUCACCCUAUACUUUCCAAAUAUUUAACAUGCAAUAUCUCCUUCAAAAACAAAAUCCCCUUCAAGAUACGAAAUCAAAAAGGCAUUUAUUCCAAG